rnacentral:lncRNA from 1 species
GCAGGAGUCAGACCCAGUCAGGACACAGCAUGGACAUGAGGGUCCCCGCUCAGCUCCUGGGGCUCCUGCUGCUCUGGCUCCCAGGUGCCAAAUGUGACAUCCAGAUGACCCAGUCUCCUUCCACCCUGUCUGCAUCUGUAGGAGACAGAGUCACCAUCACUUGCCGGGCCAGUCAGAGUAUUAGUAGCUGGUUGGCCUGGUAUCAGCAGAAACCAGGGAAAGCCCCUAAGCUCCUGAUCUAUAAGGCGUCUAGUUUAGAAAGUGGGGUCCCAUCAAGGUUCAGCGGCAGUGGAUCUGGGACAGAAUUCACUCUCACCAUCAGCAGCCUGCAGCCUGAUGAUUUUGCAACUUAUUACUGCCAACAGUAUAAUAGUUAUUCUCCCACAGUGUUACACACCCGAACAUAAACCCCCAGGGAAGCAGAUGAACUGUGGCUGCACCAUCUGUCUUCAUCUUCCCGCCAUCUGAUGAGCAGUUGAAAUCUGGAACUGCCUCUGUUGUGUGCCUGCUGAAUAACUUCUAUCCCAGAGAGGCCAAAGUACAGUGGAAGGUGGAUAACGCCCUCCAAUCGGGUAACUCCCAGGAGAGUGUCACAGAGCAGGACAGCAAGGACAGCACCUACAGCCUCAGCAGCACCCUGACGCUGAGCAAAGCAGACUACGAGAAACACAAAGUCUACGCCUGCGAAGUCACCCAUCAGGGCCUGAGCUCGCCCGUCACAAAGAGCUUCAACAGGGGAGAGUGUUAGAGGGAGAAGUGCCCCCACCUGCUCCUCAGUUCCAGCCUGACCCCCUCCCAUCCUUUGGCCUCUGACCCUUUUUCCACAGGGGACCUACCCCUAUUGCGGUCCUCCAGCUCAUCUUUCACCUCACCCCCCUCCUCCUCCUUGGCUUUAAUUAUGCUAAUGUUGGAGGAGAAUGAAUAAAUAAAGUGAAUCUUU